GGUUAAUCAUUAUUUGUUUUGAAAGCAAAGUUAAAAGUAAGUGUAUUUACUUAUUAAUCU
rnacentral:tRNA from 1 species